rnacentral:tRNA from 1 species
AGUGCAUUAUCAUAAUGGGUAGGGAACUGGGCUUGUAACCUAAAGGCUUCAGGUUCAAUUCCUGGAUAGGGCACUG